rnacentral:lncRNA from 1 species
AAACAUAACACUAAUUUAUCAAAGUACCUAACAUUAUAUAAGAAAGUCAAAUAUGAUUCACUAGAAAUUCUUAAACUUUACCAUCAAAAUAAACUUACUUCAAAUCCUAAAUUUUUCUUAACCAACAAAGAGUCUUUAAUAAUACUAUAGAAAGCAUGAUUAAAAUAUCCUAAGCACCACACACAUCCAUCACGCAUCUCCCUGCUCCUCUCCUGAAAAGUUUUAAAUAAAAUGGGGUGAGUAUUUUAAAUAUACUCAGUGAGGGGGAAUUCAUAACUAACUUUUACUUUGUCCAAACGUGCAACAUAGCAUAUGAAAUAUAAAAUCAUAACUUCAACCAUAAACCAACAACUUGCUCAAAUAACAAGAGAGGAAAUAUGGGACAUAACUUCAACCACAUUUCAAUACAACACUUAAGGAAGUAUGAACACAUGGGACAUAUCACUUCAACUGUGCACAGGAACAUAAACUUGGCAUAUUGCUAUAUGCUCACAUCAUAAUCUCAUUCAUAAAUCAUAGCAUAUGUAAACACGUUGGACAUAAAAUAACUUUCACAAUAAAUAACUUAAACAUUUUCUUGUGGAAUUUAACUUGAAAUAAAAGAAUUUUCUUUAUUUUACCCACCUCGAACCUUUGAUAGCAAACUUGACUAACACUUAACUCGGGGAUAGAGAUCCUAAUUGCGCCGCACCUAAUCACAUAAAUAUAAUUACUUCAAUAUGGGCCUAACUAAAACUUUAACUAAAAAUUAUACAGACAAAACUAUAUAUAUUCAUAUAUAUAUAUAUAUAUAUGUAUAUAUUCUAAAAAAAUAUGGAAUCAUUGACAAAAAUAAACAUAAAUAUAGUUAGACUAGGAAUCUGUAAACCUUUGUAAAUCAAAUAAAAUAUUUAUACAAAAUUUGCGACAACCAGUUACCCAAAUCAAAUAAGUAUAACUGAUUCAAUUACUUGAUCCAUCCAAACUUACGUAUACUAACUGAACUCUGGCCUCAUAAUGACUCUAACUUUGUGAAAAUCUAACAACUAAUUUAAAAUCUCUUUUAACAAACAAAACCCGUAGGCCACUAUGUGAAAAUAAGUUAUGCUCAUCUGGAGACUAAUAGCUAGAUUUUUGAAAUAAUAAUAUUAAUAUAAAAUUCAAAACAAAGAAUUUCAAACCAACAUCAACGCCAUACAUAAAUUUUCUCCAAGCUUUAUUGAAAUUAAAAUUAUUUGUGACAUCAUUGUCUCCCAAAUUCGCAUUUUACCAAACAAAAACUAGUUUUAGAAGGUUUCAUAGAAUAACAAUAUAAUAGUAAUAAUUAUCUUCGUAUUAAUAACUAGUCUAAACUUACUGUAUGAAAGCAAAACAACCCAAUACUAAUCAAAUAACGUCUUUCUUGACAAUUGAAGAUUAAAAGAAUUUGAAGAAUCGUAAGUAUUCAACCUAAUCAGAAAACUAAUUCCGAAUCAUACUAAAUUUGAGAAAAACUCACAAAUCAAAUAAAGUUAGAAUUUAAUCUUACAAGAAUUCUUGAUUUCUUGGCAGCAACUAAAACUUGAAUACUUGAAGAACUUUAACAAAGAAGGUUUUUCAGAGUUUUUUGAAUGGUUGUGAAACGAAAGGAGAAAAUAGCAGAAUAUAAAGUUGGAGAAUGAGAAUUUUCAGAUGAUCAGUUUGUGAAAACCGUCUGUGCAAGUCUUCAGAAAAGAAGAGGGAAAAGCGGAACGG